AGUCUCACCCACCCCCUGCGGCCCCGGGCGGGGGGCCGAGGACCUGGUGCAGCUGCGCUCAGCGGCAGGGCUGGGAUGUGCGGGGCAAUGCAGAGCCCCGCCGGCUCCCGCCUCCCGGGCUAUUGCGCUGCACUCCCAGUCCCCGCGGGGCACGGGCGGCAGGGCUGCGGCUUGUCCCUCGCCAGCUCCGUCGCUAUCCCAUGGUCCCGGCGAGCCCGGAGCCCCGGCGAGUAGCCUCCCGGCGCCGCCGCCGCAGUUCCCGGCUGCCCAUCGCGCCAGCCCAGGCUCUGGUGGCGGCUCUGCGAACCGCACUCGCAGCCGUUGCAGGAAGGGGAGGGGACGCUGCGAUUGACAAGCCAAGCGGGCCUCUUAAAGGGGAAGCGCUGCUUGACUUUGCGGGGAGGCUCCUCUCCGCCAGGGUCAGUCCCUGCAGGAGCGGGGCGGGCUCCCAGGGCAGGAGAACCUCUCACGGUAACACACCCGCCUUCCGCAGCGGCAACUCGGCCGGGGCUGCCCCCUGUGACACAUGCAAGCACGUACACGGGGGAUACUCACAGCUAAACACACACACAACCUCAUCCCCACAGAUGCACACACCCCGCAAAUUUGCUCAGACAUGGACACACACAGAGAAGCUGGUACUACUCGGAUCUGCAUUUGAGCACACACAAUGUGUGACCUCUGCACAAGAGCUGGAAAGAGAGAGAAUUUCCACUCAGGAUCCUCAGGUGAAUGAAGAUUUCUGUAUUUCCUGGAAUGAGUAAAAGCCUGCAAGGAGACAGAGGUGAAUAAAUCUAUUCCCAUUAUCUCGAAUGAACUCUGGGUGUAGCUCAGAGAGGAGAAAAACCCACACUGGAUUGUAGAGCACAUCUGAAAUGGACUCUGAUCACAACCCACUAAAGGAAUGAGCAAGGUGACUGAAAUAUUAUUUUUCUCUCAUCUAAUUCAUCGUGGUUCUGCCCACGAUGUUAUUACACUCAACUUUCCCUUAUCUUUCCCAUAUCUAGCAUGGGAGUAGUUGGGCAGACAGAAUGAUGAACAGAACAAUGUAUCCCAACAGCUGCAUGCCAGUUUUUAGUAACAUAGCAUUGAAAGGAUAUACAACUCAUUACAAGAGGAAAACUGCACUCAAGUCAUUCCCUCAAAUAACUUACAAUCUAAGGGCACAAAUUAGCAGAAAACUGACACACAGCAGUAGCACUUUUCUCAUGUGACCAAGUGAUCUAUGUAGCACUCACUCAAAGAUUAAAGUCUCUUCCCUAACCUCCUGCUCCAGAAAAGAGAAAGACAUGAAGGCAAAGGACUAAUGUGGUUGUAACCACCCUGUGAAACUUGAAGUAGGUCCCAUGUUUGUUCCCUAGCUCCCAGCCCUGCAGAGACUGGGAGUGUCAUGAGGGCAGCACACUCAGCCCCUGUUUGAGGGAGUCCCUCCAACAACUGCUCCUGAUGAACUACCAGGAGGAGAGGUUAGUGUAGCAAGGACCCUGGGAUGCAGGGGAGUAAGAACUGAAGGGACCCAGGGUUCUGAGAGGGGCAUGAAGAACCCUCCUGUUUGUAGGGAUAAAGAGAAAUGAAGGCCAAAACUGAGAAGACAUGGGAUGAAGAUGAUGAGGGAAGAAACGUGUGAUGAAGAAGGUAAAGAAAGAGCUAGAAAAAGUAGGAAGCACUGUGUGCAGAAAAGCCAGUAAGGUUCUGACCUUGCAGUUCUCAUGCAACUGACAACUGAUUAUUAUAUUGGGAACAAUGCGCCUGUAGGGACAGCAGGCUUGAGUCUUUUAGGUGCUGAGAAAUAACAGGAGAGAUGUGAAUCACAUGACCUACUGGCAAUAGGAAAACUGAGUUUCAAAUAUUCACUCAUAUGGCAAAACUGAUACUAAAAAAUAAAACCAAUUGCUAUUCUAACAGCUCCUGUCCUUAACCUGAAAGCCAAAAACAAUAUCACUUGCCAUAGGGCUGUUUGCUGAAUGGCCUGCGAUCCAUCAUCUACUGCUUUGACUAAAAGACACACAUACUCAUUGUUUAAAAUAACAGGCAAUCAGCACGUUAACUUCAAUUUAUUGAGACAAAAAGAAACAUCCCAUUGGUAUCUGUUCUGAGAAAAAUUACUACACCAGCACCUUAGUUUUGUCUUCGGAUGGCCCCCAAUCACCACCCUUCUCCACACUCCCUCCAGCAAAAUUCUCCAAAAGAGACAGGCAUUGUUGACAAAUUUACUGUGGGGGAUUCACCAGCUAGUUCCAGAGUUAAUAUAUCUAGGAAUGCUACAAACAGCCUGCAUUCAAAACUGAUACAGUUGUCCUCUUUCCUGACGUAUUACUCACUAUAAAAAAGGUUUCUUCAAAGCAACUAGGCUUUUUGUUAGAAUUAAACACACACAACUAAAAUCUAGGCCAGAGACAUGAACAUCUGUCCAAGAAAUUACAAAUGAACAGUGGUGUUUACUUUUCAGAGAGUUGGAACCCUUUCCUUGUGUUCCCCUGUCUAAGCAAUUCAUCAAUAGUAACAUGAUCUGAGUUUCAUUUUUACAGAAUCAAUUAUUAAUAGUGGGCUCUGUGCUCGGGAAAUCUCAAUGGGGCUUUCAGGGCAGGCCUUGCAGCAUCCAUCACUGACUGGGAUGGAUUAGGCUCUUUCCGAAGCUAUUUAUUGUCCUGCUGUUAUAAGUGUGAUUCUUGGAGCUAGAAGAGAAAUAAAAUUGUAGUGAAAUCAA